rnacentral:rRNA from 1 species
UAGGGAAUCUUCGGCAAUGGACGAAAGUCUGACCGAGCAACGCCGCGUGAGUGAAGAAGGUUUUCGGAUUGUAAACUCUGUUGGUAGAGAAGAACGUUGGUGAGAGUGGAAAGCUCAUCAAGUGACGGUAACUACCCAGAAAGGGACGGCUAACUACGUGCCAC